AUGUGCAAUCAGAAAAAACACAAACUACUGUCAUUUUCUGUGUUUUUCUGACAGCGGGUCAGUUUGAAUCAUAAUGCAGGACGGAGCAGCCACAGUUAGCUGUUAGAUGAGGAGGCGACGGGCUGCACUCCUCCAACUUCUCAGCGUGGCGACCGACUGUCUUGGCUGUGUCCUGCUGUUCGCAGACUCCAGACAUGUGCAGCAUAAAAUCAGGUUGCUCACAGAAAGAGAAGAAGGCCAGUCACUGUCGGACUUCUUCAUGAGAGCAUCGAUCGUUUGCUGUUACCUGUGCUAUGAAACCACAAACAGCAGCAACAGGGGUCUCCAAAUCAACCAGGGCUGAAAUCUUUAAGAUCUGCAGGAGAAAUCCAUCGUGCAUUCAAUCCAAACUCUGCUGUUCAUGACCGUCUCCUGUCUGAGUCCACAUCCCCUCUUAAGACGUCACCAUACCUAUCAUCCCACUAUUGUUCCGAGGGCACGGGUGUAAUCAUGUGUGAAAUUGGUUUGGAUGUGGUUUGAUGGCGCUCCUGUGUCUCAAUGGAUAAAUUCAAAGGCCGUCUAAUUACAUACUGGAGCAGAAGAGGGGGAGACCAGUGACCUGUGGCCUGUUUAUCUGCAGCUAAUCAGGAUCAUCCGAGAGGAGGAGAUCGUCAUAACUGUCCAGAUUUUUAUCCCACGUCAUCUCUGUGGUAAAUUACAUAAUAAUGGAGGCUUUGAAAGGUACUGCAUGCAAACACCAACAUAACAUGAUGGUCAGUUUAAGCUGCUGCAGGCACAGCUGAGAGCUUUGGUAGACAUUGGCAUAAAAAAAAA